rnacentral:rRNA from 1 species
GGGCCCGCACAAGCGGUGGAGCAUGUGGUUUAAUUCGAUGCAACGCGAAGAACCUUACCAGGGCUUGACAUACUACAAAUUCUUUGGAGACAGAGAAGUGCCUUCGGGAAUGUAGAUACAGGUGGUGCAUGGCUGUCGUCAGCUCGUGUCGUGAGAUGUUGGUUAAGUCCCGCAACGAGCGCAACCCUUAUUUUUAGUUACCAAUUCGUUGGGUUCUCUAGAAAGACUGCCGGUGACAAACCGGAGGAAGGUGAGGAUGACGUCAAGUCAGCAUGCCCCUUAUGUCCUGGCUACACACGUGCUACAAUGGUUAAGACAAAGAGUCGCUAGCUUGCGAAAGUUUGCU